GGUCCUCCCAGCGUCUCGUUUCCUUUUUCUUUCUGCAGCUUUCUUCUUUCUUAUUUAAUGUAUAUUGGUGUUUUGCCCGAACCACGUGCAAGCAGUGCCGUAGGGACCAGAAGAUUGCAUUGGACGCCUGUGAAGCUGGUGGUGGUGAGCCAUGUGGAUGCUGAAAUCAAACCUGGGUCCUCCGCGAGAGCCGACAGUACUCUUAACUAAGAGUACCCCUGACUGCAGAUUUUGCUGGAGCUAGAAAUUUGGUAGUGAAUGGGUGCUCUCGUGCUGAAGAUCAUAUGCGGAACAUCUCAAAUGCCAGCAAAUACCCUGCAUCACUGAGCUACAGUGUAAGCCCUAGCUCAACUGGAAUUUAGACAUGGUUCCCUAUCAUUAAAAAUGGAUAAAAGAAA